rnacentral:lncRNA from 1 species
AAAAACUUUUUUUUAACACGCAGACAACUAGCUUAAAAUACUCAAGUCUGCAAAAUUCGUUUAACAAAGCAAUAGGGUUUCCUUGUGAUGGAUAAACCACUUUGAAAAUAAGUUUUCUCUCGGUAACUUGUAGCGAGGAAUGCUUUCUCAAACUUAAAAAACGCUACGAAUAGAUUUUGGAGCGAAAAAAGAGACCUCUACUUUAAAUGUUAGAUAAAACGUUGCUCAUUGAAUUGAAAAAGAGAUUAAUACCUUCAGCAAAUAAAGAUUCUGCAACGCAGGAUGGAAACCGCCCACUUCCGCAAAGUGGGUACAUCAACACAAUGAGUCACCAAUGGAUACAGCGUAUUUCAAGUAUUUUGAGUGACGACCUACGUGUUAAUCGGUUGACAUUUCACGAUUCCCAUUCUGUGAUAUUUGGAACCGCGUUUUCCAGCUUUUUAUGCUCGUGCCUUAGUGACAGAGGUUUGAAUUUCGACAUCAACGGCGCAACCUCCUCUCCAAGAAAUAUUGAAACAUAACCUCUGCACUUGAAGAACACACAAGUCAACAUAAUGUGCAUACCCGAAUUCAAUUCCUGCUUAUGUUGCAUAUCGCUGCGAACGGGUUCACUUAUCAUCGGAUGGUUCUAUACUAUUUUCAACAUUUUGGAAUUGAUAGGUUUCUCCAUAGAUUCUGGCAGCCUUUUUAAGGAAAUAUUUAAAAAUUGGAGGAGAACAGGUUUGACUAUUGUGAGAUUGAUGAUCGUUGAAUAUUACUUCGUUCUCCUCAUUUUCACGAUUUGCGCAAUUUACCUUAUUGUGGGAAUCAAAAAGGAUUCACCCAGAAAAGUACGAUAUUUUGUGGUGGCGAGUAUAGUAUCAAUUCUUAACAGCAUCAUCCUAGGUCUAAUCAUAAACCUAUCACCUUUGAAAAAAUACUCCGAUAAGCUUAUAGACGCAUCGAUUGAUCAAGCGUAUAAUUCACAUGUUACAGUUUUUGGCGUGACACUUGUCGAGCUCUUGAUUGAUGUGUAUUGCCUCCUGGUGGUUCAUAGUUAUUACAGGCAGAUGAGGCGAGAGGGCGCCACUGUCUAAGACGUUGGAACUUGGGAAGCAUCACCAAGGGAAUGACUACACUUUUCGCCGCAUACUUUUAUAUCACAUGCCAACAUUAUCACAUUCAUCAAAUCAGUAGACUUUACAUUUUUAUGCAUAAUUAAAUUAAUCACUUGUGCAGAAACAUUUUUUAUGUAAAUAAAUUAUGAGAUAGAGAUUCAACGUAUACUUUAUUAAGAUCUGAAUUUUUGGAAACUGUGGAACCGUGGUGUUGUGUGGACGCCAGGGUGUUCAUAAGAACAUAUGAUAAAGGCAAUCAUGGACACUGCACACCAAGAAAAUUUGGGUACAAUCUUGUAAAUACUUAUCAGUUUAACAAAAGAACCCCCAGAAAUGCAUUUAGCUGAAUUGCUCCUCAGUCCAUAGUUCCAGCCGAAUCUUAUGCUUCCGUUCAAUUCCAAAACACUGUAAUUUUAAACUCUAAAUGUUUCAUUUUUCCUCCGUUUAUAAUGAAAUUUUGCAAGAAUAAAUGCUUAGCAUGUC